rnacentral:rRNA from 1 species
AUCACUAAGCGGAGGAAAAGAAACUAACAAGGAUUCCCCCAGUAACGGCGAGUGAAGUGGGAAUAGCCCAGCACCGAAUCCCUCAGCCUUGCGCUGCCGGGAAAUGUGGUGUUUGGGACGACCGCUGUCGUGUUGUUCGGGUGCCCAAGUCCUCCCGAUCGGGGCCUCUCCCACAGUGGGUGUCAGGCCUUUACCGGCACUCGUCGGCAUGGCUAUGGUCGUCCUCGGAGUCGGGUUGUUUGGGAAUGCAGCCCAAAGCUGGUGGUAAACUCCAUCUAAGGCUAAAUACUGACACGAGUCCGAUA